GGCGGGGAUUAACAUGGCAGUCGAACGAUGAACCACUUCGGUGGGGAUUAGUGGCGAACGGGUGAGUAACACGUGGGCAAUCUGCCCUGCACUCUGGGACAAGCCCUGGAAACGGGGUCUAAUACCGGAUACUGACCCGCUUGGGCAUCCAAGCGGUUCGAAAGCUCCGGCGGUGCAGGAUGAGCCCGCGGCCUAUCAGCUUGUUGGUGAGGUAAUGGCUCACCAAGGCGACGACGGGUAGCCGGCCUGAGAGGGCGACCGGCCACACUGGGACUGAGACACGGCCCAGACUCCUACGGGAGGCAGCAGUGGGGAAUAUUGCACAAUGGGCGAAAGCCUGAUGCAGCGACGCCGCGUGAGGGAUGACGGCCUUCGGGUUGUAAACCUCUUUCAGCAGGGAAGAAGCGAAAGUGACGGUACCUGCAGAAGAAGCGCCGGCUAACUACGUGCCAGCAGCCGCGGUAAUACGUAGGGCGCGAGCGUUGUCCGGAAUUAUUGGGCGUAAAGAGCUCGUAGGCGGCUUGUCACGUCGGUUGUGAAAGCCCGGGGCUUAACCCCGGGUCUGCAGUCGAUACGGGCAGGCUAGAGUUCGGUAGGGGAGAUCGGAAUUCCUGGUGUAGCGGUGAAAUGCGCAGAUAUCAGGAGGAACACCGGUGGCGAAGGCGGAUCUCUGGGCCGAUACUGACGCUGAGGAGCAAAGCUGGGGGGGAAAAACAAAAAAAAAGCGCUGGUUUGGGCCG
rnacentral:rRNA from 1 species